AGUAGGAGUAGGAGUAGGAGUAGUAGGAGUAGUAGUAGGAGUAGGAGGAGUAGUAGGAGUAGGAGUAGAAGUAGGACCUCUAACCCAUAGUGUAAUUACUUCUCAUUUAGUUAUGUUAUUUAUGAAUCGUGAGUAGUUUGAGGACUACCUCGUCUGGGGAAAUGUUAUGGACAGGGAUGCCGUUGACCUCCAGAACUCGGUCUCCAGUGUGGACAGAGGACAGCAGGUCAGGGCUGUGGGCAGCUGAGUCUAACCUGAGGGAGAAAGACAAUGAGUGAAUAAGUGGAGAGACUCACCCUGUCACGGUGACAAGAGGGCCUUUCUCUUGGCUGAGGUCAGUGGCUACAGUCAGGCCUCGUCGGCCUCCUGCAUGGGGAGGGAGAGACACCAGCGCCACCGUGUGGGAACUCUUGUGCUCCACCUAAACUGACCUGGUAAGCCGCCCGCACCUCCUCCUACUCCCUGACCUGUUCCUAACGGACCUCCUGUUCCUCCUGCAUUACCUGGACAGGC